GUAAGUGAAAGGCGAAAAAUCGGACUUAAAAUCCCGUUUCCGAAAGGAAGUGUCGGUUCGAAUCCGACCCGAGGCACCA
rnacentral:tRNA from 1 species